AACGAGGCGCGAAGAGCACGCCAAGAAGUCCUGUAAGAACGCCGUAUUGAAGAGCAAGCCCACGAGCCGGCCACAAGCUCUUCUGAAACAAACGUCGCGCGCCAUCACAUCCGCUCUGCACAGCUCGCUCGUAAUUGGAAAGAAUCACAGCUUGAAACACGUUGGCAGGCAGAGCGAGAGGCCCACUGCUGCGAAAGUGCAGAAGCCAGGUGAUGCCUCGUACCUUGCCCUUCUUCCCCCUUCUUCCCCCAUCUCUCGCAGCCCUUUCCUGGCGCAGCCAAUUUCUUAAUUCGCGUAAUAACCCGAUUUGUGCCGCUUACGUACGGUGUUCAGAAGGCUCAGCGCGCGCAGCCCUGCGUUCGAGCCCGGCCCGGCCGUUGCUGAUGCAUGCCUUUCGCGGCGGAGGCAAACAGCCGUAGGCGAGCACGCGUGGUUCGAAUUCGCGAGGGCUUGAACGACGGCACAUUCGCCAGCCCUCCUCCGUCGGGCAGAAAGCGUCGCCGGCGCCUUGCGACUAAUCCGUUUGGCAAACAACACGAUUCACGGCGCACAUCGCGCUCCUCCCACUCCCGUGUAUGCCCGCGCCUCAUUCUGCCCUGAUUCCUGUCAGCUUCUGUGUCACGCUUCUGCAAUAUUGCCUCGCACGGGAAGCACUUUGGGCGCGUUGCAAGAGGCCGUUCAUGCGUGCCCCGGCGGCUGGGCCUCUGCGAUCCAGAACGGUUCGGCCCCCUGGAAGCCGUUCGUGCUGGCGCGUCGAGGGUGCGCUGUGUGAAAGUGCUGGUCUUCUAUACCGUCCGAGGACUGAGAUCGAGGCUACUGUUCACGGCCGACCUGCCUGGAGCACUGACAUCGACAUAUGGAGACAAAUUUCCUCUGAACUCUGUCUACUCGUUCUUUAUUAGACCGACGAGUACUGUUCCACAUGACAGCGGCGUAUUCCAGUGCAGUGCCCCGUCAGCAACUUCAACGAAUGUUUGUUCUGAAUCAUGUAAACACCUACUCCUGCCUGGGUGGGUGACCAACAGGCAGCUGGUAGAGGAGGCUGACAAAUGUUUAAAUUCGUAUUUGGGGG